UCUUAGCUUGCAGUAUUUUUAAUAUUGAGUGAGUAGAAAAAAUUUUAAGCAUUUCAGAAUAUUUACUAAAAAUUUACAAAAUUGCAUAAAGCGCACAAUUUUAAAAAUAUAUGUUGAGAAGGUGGUGGGGGUAAAUGGGGAUAAUCCCCCGCCGUAUCAACGACAUGAGUGAGAGUUAAUUUCUUAUUAUAUCAGAUAAAGGUUUACUUAAGACAAUGAAUAACAAAAGUACCUUAAAAACACUUUGCCUAUAUGAUCUAAGGAAAUGUGGAUAAAUUAUUAUUGAAUAUGUUGUUUUUCUUUUAAUAAAUGACUUCGCGAUACAUUCAUGGUAAAAAAAAAAGGAUUCGCUAUAAAGGGACAAUUUUCGCUACAAUCGGGUUUUUUAUAAAAGUUUCACUAAAAUGUAUUCUCUUACAAUUUACGGUUCUCGCUGAAAAUGUUUUGCGGUAAAACAAAGAUUUGCGAAAUUGCUGCCAUAUUACCCUCGCUCUAAAAUGCAUUCACGAUAAACGACAUUAAUUGUAAAAGUUUCGUUAAAAUGUUUCUCAAUAAAGUUGCUGAUAUAACCUAAAAUUCCCUACAACACUGGGGUAAUGGCGGAGAGCUUAUAUAUGUGACAAAAAUUCGGUUUGGAAAUAUGCCGGUCACAUGUGCUCUAUAUAUGGGUGCAAGACAUGCCCAUUAAAUGAUUUUUUUUUAAUUUUUAAAUUUUAUUAUAUUUUUUUAAUAUGUUGACUUUUUAAACUGAACAAAAUUUUGAAUGUAAAAAGGGAAAAAAAACUAUAAAUAUUUACCUUUUUUAGAAAAAUCAAAAUAUUUUUUGUUUACUUCUCUAUAAAAUCUGCUGACGUUAUGAUAUAUUUUUAGGAAGGAGGGGCGGGGAGAUUUAGGUUAAAAAUUUAUUUCUUAUUAUUAUUAAUAUUCACCUAUCUAAAAAUUUAAUAUAAUUUAUUUAACAAUUCUGAAAAAUAUAUAUGUCCUUCAAGUUUCAUAUGGUUUUCGGAAUUCUUAUGUUUGUAAGUUCUUAGAUAUUAUAUUUAUAUUUCUUUUUAAAAUAGUUUAAACUUAGAAAAUAUUUAUAUUAUUCAACAAAUUUUUACUUUAUAUUAAGGUGAUGAUUAUCAACUAUAGCUCCCAAAAUACAUUAACAACACUGAGUAGUAAUUACGAUGGAGACACUUCUAAUAUCACAAUACUCGUAUAUUCCUCACCUUGCGAUAAAUAUAAGACCGAGAGCUGUAACCCCUGCGUGAAUAUCACCUGUAACAGCAAUACAACUUUGGUAGAAUGCGAACCGAACUAUUGUAAGGGAGCAUGCGAAGCUAUUUUUAAAGAUGCUAUCACAGAGAAAUUUAUUGAUUGUCGAUAAUAUAUUAUAUUAGCUGGUUAUUUUAUUUGUUCUAUAAAAAUUUAUUUGUGAUUCGGGUAAAAUUAAUAUUUAAAAAUAAAAAUGUAUGUAUAUC